CGAUCGUUCCCGAUAGCUGGAGCGUGAGGAGCAUCUGCAGGUGGUGUUUGAAGAAAUUUUCAUUGCACUUGAUUCUGGCGCAUUAGAGCAGCUGAAAGAGUUGAGUUCCAGGCGCAGAGCUGUUGAAGAAUCAAUUAAUGAGAGCAGCUUCAUGACAGAGGUUAUUGCGAGGGAAAUGGCAAGAGGAUUGACUUCUCGUUAUGAGCAGGACCUGCAAAAACUGGAGCAGUAUUUGCCACUUUUAGAAAAUUUGAUGAUUCAUGUUCAGUCAAUUAGCAACAAUCAAAUAAUUGUUCGUUGGACUUCAGGCCUUAAGAUAAGAUGGACUAGUGCUCUUAGUGCUUCUUCAAUUU